GUGCUGGACGUAAGGUUUGGGAAAUUUGGUUGGGCCUGAAUAGCAUAGUUGAGAAGAUAAUUUUUGUUGUGUCAGUUGGAUGCGUCAUCUUUGUUUCCUUCAAGCUAAUGAACAUGCAGUUGUGGAGAAUGAAAAAUGGAUCUGGUUGGUGGCUAAAUACGCCAAGGACGACAAGCUCCCAUUCCUGGAAAACGGAUUUUCCUCAAGAUCCUAGUUAUAGGCAGCCAAGCAAUAGGAGAAGUGGCAUCACUGAGAAGUUGAAGAAGUUGUUUCCAAAGUUCACAAUGCAGAUA
rnacentral:misc_RNA from 1 species